AUAUUCUGCCCCACGGGUAAGGAUGAGAAGCUUCGACUAAGGUUCGACUCGAGCGAAGCGAGAGAACGUUGCCGCAGGCAACGGCCCGAAGGGCGAGGCGCUUUAGCGCCGAGUAAUCCUUCCCCCACCACUG
rnacentral:sRNA from 1 species